CACUCUAAGUUGACUGCCGGUGACAAACCGGAGGAAGGUGGGGAUGAUGUCAAAUCAUCAUGCCCCUUAUGAUUUGGGCUACACACGUGCUACAAUGGACAAUACAAAGGGCAGCGAAACCGCGAGGUCAAGCAAAUCCCAUAAAGUUGUUCUCAGUUCGGAUUGUAGUCUGCAACUCGACUACAUGAAGCUGGAAUCGCUAGUAAUCGUAGAUCAGCAUGCUACGGUGAAUACGUUCCCGGGUCUUGUACACACCGCCCGUCACACCACGAGAGUUUGUAACACCCGAAGCCGGUGGAGUAACCUUUUAGGAGCUAGCCGUCGAAGGUGGGACAAAUGAUUGGGGUGAAGUCGUAACAAGGUAGCCGUAUCGGAAGGUGCGGCUGGAUCACCUCCUUU
rnacentral:rRNA from 1 species